rfam:Mesocricetus auratus contig023771, whole genome shotgun sequence.
CAAAAGGUCCUUUUCAGGACCACCCACUUGAUCUUCAAAAAGCUGU